UACAGAGGUCUCGAGCGUUGUUCGGAUUCAUUGGGCGUAAAGGGUGCGUAGGUGGCGCUGUAAGUCAGGUGUGAAAUUUCGGAGCUUAACUCCGAAACUGCAUUUGAUACUGCGGUGCUUGAGGACUGGAGAGGAGACUGGAAUUUACGGUGUAGCAGUGAAAUGCGUAGAGAUCGUAAGGAAGACCAGUGGCGAAGGCGGGUCUCUGGACAGUUCCUGACACUGAGGCACGAAGGCCAGGGGAGCAUACGGG
rnacentral:rRNA from 1 species